rnacentral:rRNA from 1 species
GAUGAACGCUGGCGGUAUGCCUAACACAUGCAAGUCGUACGAGAGUUUUUAACUCUAGUGGCGGACGGGUGAGUAACACGUGAGAAUUUGCCUUUAGGAGGGGGACAACAAUCGGAAACGAAUGCUAAUACCCCAUAUGCUUUUGAGUGAAACGGAUUUAUCCGCCUAGAGAGAAGCUCGCGGCUGAUUAGCUUGUUGGUAAGGUAAGAGCUUACCAAGGCGACGAUCAGUAUCUGGUUUGAGAGGACGAUCAGACACACUGGAACUGAGACACGGUCCAGACUCCUACGGGAGGCAGCAGUGGGGAAUAUUGGGCAAUGGAGGAAACUCUGACCCAGCGACGCCGCGUGCGGGAUGAAGGCCUUCGGGUUGUAAACCGCUUUCAGCAGGGAAGAAGCGAAAGUGACGGUACCUGCAGAAGAAGCACCGGCUAACUAUGUG